ACAACCUUGUACCAGCCUGCGUGAGAGACUCCGAAGCGCGAUUACGUUUCGCGGUCUCGGCUUGCGUGCAGUUUCUUUUUUUCGUGCACUGAACACGGAAAGGAAAGAGUUCUCUGAAUGCGACAGAAUAAUGCAGCCGUGCUAUGCAAUGCUAAGUACAGAAGAUUCAAAGGAAACUUAAUAGAACGGAUUACCAUUUAAAUGGAAAGAACUAACAUUUGUACCUUAUUCGGAAUUAAGACCGUUAUCUUAUCUUAGCUUGGACAUAUCUAUUUCUAUUUCAUGUGCAAAUAUAUAUAUAUAUAUCGUAUCGUAUCGGGAGUGCAAUAUAUAAAAGAUAGUGUUAUCUAGAAUGUCGAAGUCAAUGUAAAAUUCGAUAGCGUUAUUAGCCAAAAUUGUUUUUACUUUUUGGAACGGAACGAUCGAGCAAAGGACACAUACAUCUUGCUGGAAUAGUACGCACCACGUGAGCAAAGAUUAUCCACUUUUGCGGUAAUUUGUGGCUGUUGAUGCGCAUGCUGUAUCGCGCAAGAUGGCCGCCAACUCGCGAUCGCUGAUUGGCGAUGGCGGAGCGGGUUAUUUGACCGGCGGUUGGUGGUUCCAGCACUGCCUGGUGCGAGUAAUUUUGAUCGUGAUUAUACUAAUUUCAUAGUAUGCCCCUUCUCGGUGGCUUAAGCAUUGGGUGAGUUCACACGAGCAGCAGUACAGGGCAAGAGUUGCCGUGCUAGCGAAAUCGAACAUCAUUUGUAAGAUUCCUUUCGACGUGUGUCAAAGUGAUUUUGUGUUUUCGAAUCUACGCCAGGUUAUGGAUAACAGUUCGCAGAAAAUUUCAUGUUGGUGUUCGUCAUUCGUGAGCUCAUGACGCAUUCUUGAUGGCGUUCUUCAGGAUCUGACGACGAACCAAGAGGAAAUGAUAGCCGUAUUGAUUCGAUGUUUUUGAAUUUAUCUAAUAAUAAACGUGUAUAUCUCUACCUUUUUCUCGUA